rnacentral:rRNA from 1 species
GAUGAACGCUAGCGGCAGGCCUAACACAUGCAAGUCGAGGGGUAGAAGCUUUCGGGCUUUGAGACCGGCGCACGGGUGCGUAACGCGUAUGCAAUCUGCCUUGUACUGAGGGAUAGCCCAGAGAAAUUCGGAUUAACACCUCAUAGUAUUUUAGUGUGGCAUCACAUUAUUAUUAAAGGUUACGGUACAAGAUGAGCAUGCGUCCCAUUAGCUAGUUGGUAUGGUAACGGCAUACCAAGGCUACGAUGGGUAGGGGUCCUGAGAGGGAGAUCCCCCACACGGGUACUGAGACACGGACCAGACUCCUACGGGAGGCAGCAGGGGGGAAUAUUGGUCAAUGGUCGCAAGACUGAACCAGCCAUGCCGCGUGCAGGAUGAAGCAUCUAUGGUGUGUAAACUGCUUUUGUACGGGAAGAAACACCGCUACGUGUAGCGGCUUGACGGUACCGUAAGAAUAAGGAUCGGCUAACUCCGUGCCAGCCGCCGCGGUAACAC